rnacentral:rRNA from 1 species
UUGAAAGGGAAACGAUUGAAGUCAGUCGUACUUACGAGUGAUCAACCUUUUAUGUGCGAUCAUGUGGACAUCUGAGAGUGAAACCCCCUCAAUGUUUUCUAUUUCUGGCUUUGGGGCGUACUUGCUCGUUUGUAAGGUAACAUCCAUUUCCGGCAUUACAAAAUGGCUAGAGGAAAGGUACUUCCAUUUUCAUUGAAGUGUUAUAGCCCCCGGGAAAAGUAAUGACCGAGACUGAAGAUUGCCACCAAUACCCUUUUGGGCUAUCUGUCUGGAUUCUGGAUAUCUCUUUGGUGCCCAAAGCUUGCUUACCGUUAUUGAAGUUGGAGGCCAAUAAGUUAGAAUGGAUUAAAUUCGUUAAGGAUGU